UACAGAGGUGGCAAGCGUUGUUCGGAAUUACUGGGCGUAAAGGGCGCGUAGGCGGCCCGAUAAGUCCCGCGUGAAAGCCCCCGGCUCAACUGGGGAACUGCGCGGGAAACUAUCGGGCUUGAGUUCGGGAGAGGGAUGCAGAAUUCCAGGUGUAGCGGUGAAAUGCGUAGAUAUCUGGAGGAAUACCGGUGGCGAAGGCGGCAUCCUGGACCGACAUUGACGCUGAGGAGCGAAAGCCAGGGGAGCAAACGGG
rnacentral:rRNA from 1 species